GUGUGGGAAUAUUGCACAAUGGCGCAAGCCUGAUGCAGCGAACGCCGCGUGGGGGAUGACGGCCUUCGGGUUGUUAACUCCUUUCGCCAGGGACGAAGCGUUUUUGUGACGGUCCCUGGAGAAGAAGCACCGGCUAACUACGUGCCAAGCAGCCGCGGUAAUACGUAGGGUGCAAGCGUUGUCCGGAAUUACUGGGCGUAAAGAGCUCGUAGGUGGUUUGUCACGUCGUCUGUGAAAUUCCACAGCUUAACUGUGGGCGUGCAGGCGAUACGGGCUGACUUGAGUACUGUAGGGGUAACUGGAAUUCCUGGUGUAGCGGUGAAAUGCGCAGAUAUCAGGAGGAACACCGAUGGCGAAGGCAGGUUACUGGGCAGUUACUGACGCUGAGGAGCGAAAGCAUGGGUAGCAAACAGGAUUAGAUACCCUGGUAGUCCAUGCCGUAAACGGUGGGCGCUAGGUGUAGGGGCCUUUUGGGGUUUAAUGUGCCGUAGCUAACGCAUUAAGCGCCCCGCCUGGGGNUNNCUNNCGCAAGGCUA
rnacentral:rRNA from 1 species